rnacentral:rRNA from 1 species
CGUGUAGGCGGGAAUGCAAGUCAGAUGUGAAAUACCGAGGCUUAACUUCGGGGCUGCAUCUGAAACUGCGUUUCUUGAGUGUCGGAGAGGAAAGUGGAAUUCCCAGUGUAGCGGUGAAAUGCGUAGAUAUUGGGAGGAACACCAGUGGCGAAGGCGACUUUCUGGACGAUAACUGACGCUGAGGCGCGAAAGCGUGGGGAGCAAACAGGAUUAGAUACCCUGGUAGUCCACGCCGUAAACGAUGGAUACUAGGUGUGGGAGGUAUCGACCCCUUCCGUGCCGCAGUUAACACAAUAAGUAUCCCACCUGGGGAGUACGGCCGCAAGGUUGAA